GACGAACGCUGGCGGCGUGCUUAACACAUGCAAGUCGAACGGAAAGGCCCUGCUUUUGUGGGGUGCUCGAGUGGCGAACGGGUGAGUAACACGUGAGUAACCUGCCCUUGACUUUGGGAUAACUUCAGGAAACUGGGGCUAAUACCGGCUAGGAGCUCCUGCUGCAUGGUGGGGGUUGGAAAGUUUAGGCGGUUGUGGAUGGACUCGCGGCUUAUCAGCUUGUUGGUGGGGUAGUGGCUUACCAAGGCUUUGACGGGUAGCCGGCAUGGGAGGGGGAACGGGGACAAGGGGACUGAGAGACGGACCAGACGCCGAUGGGAGGCAGUAGGGGGGAAUAUGGCACAACGGGCGGAAGUCUGAGGCAGCAACGUUGCGUGUGGGAUGAAGGCUUUCGGGGGGUAAACCGCUGUCGCCUGUGACGAAGCGUGAGUGACGGUAAUGGGUAAAGAAGCACCGGCUAACUACGUG
rnacentral:rRNA from 1 species